rnacentral:rRNA from 1 species
AUACGGAGGGAACAAGCGUUAUUCGGAAUCACUGGGCGUAAAGGACGCGUAGGCGGGUUAUUAAGUCGGGUGUGAAAUCCAAUGGCUCAACCAUUGAACUGCAUUCGAAACUGAUAACCUAGAGUAUGGAAGGGGCAGGUGGAAUUAGUGGUGUAGGGGUAAAAUCCGUAGAUAUCACUAGGAAUACCGAAAGCGAAGGCGACCUGCUGGGACAUUACUGACGCUGAGGCGUGAAAGCGUGGGGAGCAAACAGGAUUAGAAACCCCGGUAGUCC